UCGGGAAUUUUGGGCAAUGGGCGAAAGCCUGACCCAGCAACGCCGCGCGAGGGAUGAAGUAUUUCGGUAUGUAAACCUCGAAAGAAUGGGAAGAAUAAAUGAUGGUACCAUUUAUAAGCUCCGGCUAACUACGUGCCAGCAGCCGCGGUACUACGUAGGGAGCAAGCGUUGUUCGGAUUUACUGGGCGUAAAGGGCGCGUAGGCGGCGCGGUAAGUCACUUGUGAAAUCUCUGAGCUUAACUCAGAACGGCCAAGUGAUACUGCUGUGCUAGAGUGCGGAAGAGGCAACCGGAAUUCUCGGUGUAGCGGUGAAAUGCGUAGAGAUCAAGAGGAACACCUGAGGCGAAGGCGGGUUGCUGGGCCGACACUGACGCUGAUGCGCGAAAGCCAGGGGAGCAAACG
rnacentral:rRNA from 1 species